rnacentral:rRNA from 1 species
AUUGAACGCUGGCGGCAUGCUUUACACAUGCAAGUCGAACGGUAACAGGCCUUCGGGUGCUGACGAGUGGCGAACGGGUGCGUAAUGCAUCGGAACGUACCCAGAGGUGGGGGAUAACGCAGCGAAAGCUGUGCUAAUACCGCAUGUGAUCUGAGGAUGAAAGCGGGGGACCGCGCAGCAAUGUUUGGCCUUGCGCCUUUGGAGCGGCCGAUGUCGGAUUAGCUAGUUGGUGGGGUAAAGGCCUACCAAGGCGACGAUCCGUAGCUGGUCUGAGAGGACGACCAGCCACACUGGGACUGAGACACGGCCCAGACUCCUACGGGAGGUAGCAGUGGGGAAUUUUGGACAAUGGGCGCAAGCCUGAUCCAGCAAUGCCGCGUGCGGGAAGAAGGCCUUCGGGUUGUAAACCGCUUUUGGCAGGAACGAAACGGUGUCCGCUAAUACCGGGCGCUAAUGACGGUACCUGCAGAAUAAGCACCGGCUAACUACGUG